GGUUGCGAUCAUACCAACACUAAUGCACCGGAUCCCAUCAGAACUCCGCAGUUUAGCGUGCUUGGGCGAGGGUAGUACUAGGAUGGGUGACUCCCUGGGAAGUCCUCGUGUUGCAACCCCUUUUUUCGCUUUUUUUAUUAUAUUUACUAGUUGAUGUAUCUUUGGCGUAGCAUUCGAUCGGCCGAUUUUGUGAAAGAAAGGCUUUGACAAUGGGGCGCGCGUGACGUAGGCCACGCAUGAGGGCAUAGUUGCGCAUGCGAUGAAGGCGUGGAAAGGUAUAAAGGAAUAAGGAGAUGGUAUUCUUUCGGUUGCGAUCUUUCGAGCACUAAUGCACCGGAUCCCAUCAAAACUCCGUAGUUAAGCGUGCUUGGGUAAGAGUAGUACUAGGAUGGGUGACCCCCUGGGAAGUCCACGUGCUGGAACCC
rnacentral:lncRNA from 1 species